rnacentral:rRNA from 1 species
AUUGAACGCUGGCGGCAUGCCUUACACAUGCAAGUCGAACGGCAGCACGGGUGCUUGCACCUGGAGGCGAGUGGCGAACGGGUGAGUAAUACAUCGGAACAUGUCCUGUAGUGGGGGAUAGCCCGGCGAAAGCCGGAUUAAUACCGCAUACGAACUACGGAUGAAAGCGGGGGACCUUCGGGCCUCGCGCUAUAGGGUUGGCCGAUGGCUGAUUAGUUAGUUGGGGGGGUAAAGGCCUACCAAGGCGACGAUCAGUAGCUGGUCGGAGAGGACGACCGGCCACACUAGAACUGAGACACGGCCCAGACUCCUGCGGGAGGCAGCAGUGGGGAAUGUUGGGCAAUGGGGGAAAGCCUGAUCCAGCAAUGCCGCGUGUGUGAAGAAGGCCUUCGGGUUGUAAAGCACUUUUGUCCGGAAAGAAAUCCUUGGCCCUAAUACGGUCGGGGGAUGACGGUACCGGAAGAAUAAGCACCGGCUAACUACGUG